rnacentral:ribozyme from 12 species
UUUUUUUUUUUUUUUUUUUUUUUAACUUUCAAAAACACUUGCCUAAUAUUUACGCACAAAAACAGG